rnacentral:rRNA from 1 species
GACGAACGCUGGCGGCGUGCUUAACACAUGCAAGUCGAACGGUGAAAGGGAGCUUGCUCCCUGGAUCAGUGGCGAACGGGUGAGUAACACGUGGGCAACCUGCCCCAGACUUCGGGAUAACGCUUCGAAAGGAGUGCUAAUACCGGAUACGAACUCCUUGGGCAUCCUGUGGGUUGGAAAGUUUUUCGGGCUGGGAUGGGCCCGCGGCCUAUCAGCUUGUUGGUGAGGUAACGGCUCACCAAGGCGACGACGGGUAGCCGGCCUGAGAGGGCGCCCGACCAGACUGGGACUGAGAAACGGCCCAGAGUCAUACGGGAGGCAGCAGUGGGGAAUAGUGCGCAAUGGGCGAAAGCCUGACUCAGCAACGCCGCGUGAGGGAUGACGGCCUUCGGGUUGUAAACCUCUUUCAGCAGGGAAGAAGCGAAAGUGACGGUACCUGCAGAAGAAGCACCGGCUAACUACGUGCCAGCCGCCGCGGUAA